GCCCGCUUGUCCCAGUGGUUAAGGAGCUCCGCUUGUAACGGAGAGAUCGGUGGUUCGAAUCCGCCAGUGGGCU
rnacentral:tRNA from 1 species